CAGAGAUGAAGUAAGGGACUGUUUCAAGGUUCAGUGCCUUAUGGAUUUUGUGGAGGGGUUGACAGUUUCCACAACUUGAAGAAGGCUUGAGCUGAUAGAAAAUGCCAGAA
rnacentral:sRNA from 1 species